rnacentral:rRNA from 1 species
UUGACCUCGAAUCAGGUAGGGAUACCCGCUGAACUUAAGCAUAUCAAUAAGCGGAGGANNNNNNNNNNNNNNNNNNNNNNNNNGUAACGGCGAGUGAAGCGGUAACAGCUCAAAUUUGAAAUCUGGAUCCAUUAGGAGCCCGAGUUGUAAUUUGUAGAAGAUGCUUUGGCGACGAGUCCGGCCUAAGUUCCUUGGAACAGGACGUCAUAGAGGGUGAGAACCCCGUAUGCGGCCGGGUGCUCGAUGCUAUGUAAAGCUCUUUCGACGAGUCGAGUUGUUUGGGAAUGCAGCUCAAAAUGGGUGGUAAAUUUCAUCUAAAGCUAAAUAUUGGCCAGAGACCGAUAGCGCACAAGUAGAGUGAUCGAAAGAUGAAAAGCACUUUGGAAAGAGAGUUAAACAGUACGUGAAAUUGUUGAAAGGGAAGCGCUUGCAACCAGACUUGGGCACUGUGGAUCAUCCGAGGUUCUCCUCGGUGCACUCGGCAGUGCGCAGGCCAGCAUCAGUUUGGGUGGUUGGAUAAAGACCUGUGGAAUGUAGCUCCUUUCGGGGAGUGUUAUAGCCACAGGUGCCAUGCGACCAACCCGGACUGAGGACCGCGCUUCGGCUAGGAUGCUGGCGUAAUGGUUGUAAGCGACCCGUCUUGAAACACGGACCAAGGAGUCUAACAUCUAUGCGAGUGUUUGGGUGUUAAACCCAUACGCGGAAUGAAAGUGAACGUAGGUGAGAACCCAUAA